CAAUAGCGUAUAUUAAAGUUGUUGCAGUUAAAAAGCUCGUAGUUGGAUUUGUGGCGUACGGUGUGUUCCGGGCACUUGUUGUCUGAGUAACCUGCUGUUGCCAUCCUUGGGUGGAACCUGUGUGGCAUUAGGUUGUCGUGCAGGGGAUGCCCAUCAUUUACUGUGAAAAAAUUAGAGUGUUCAAAGCAGGCUUAUGCCGUUGAAUAUAUUAGCAUGGAAUAAUGAGAUAGGACUUUUUUGCUAUUUUGUUGGUUUGCACAAAGAGGUAAUGAUUAAUAGGGACAGUUGGGGGUAUUCGUAUUCCAUUGUCAGAGGUGAAAUUCUUGGAUUUUUGGAAGACGAACUACUGCGAAAGCAUUUACCAAGGAUGUUUUCAUUAA
rnacentral:rRNA from 1 species